GGCUAAGCCAGGACUGCUUUUCUGGAGUGAUAAUGUGCUUGCCUGUGUCUAAGAGAAAGUACCCUGGCUGAUCAAUGGGACUUGGAUUUUAAAUACCAUUGUAUAAUAAAUGUAUGUGAUGGCUUUGGAGCAAAUUGAUUGACAAUGGCUAGGAGACAGCUUCCCAAGGCUGGAAAGAGGGGAGGGCGGAACAUGCCUCCACCAUACCACUGCCCACCUCCUGUGACCUCUGCAGCAAAACCUGAAGUCCCAAAGAGGCAGCUUCUCAAAGUAAAAGUGGAAUGAAGUUCCUGGUGACCUGAAUUCCCAUGGAGGAAAGAGGAAAAGGACAUUAUGCAUAGGAGAUGGCAUCUCGUGUCCCUGGUGAACCAAAUUCCAUUAGGAAGACGGUGCGGUGUGAGGUGGACCUGGACUUGGACCUGGAUAAAAUGGGUGUUUAACAAGUAUUUGUUGAGUAGGUGAUGAAGGAGGCAUGACUAGAUGCAGAGUCUAGUUGCGACUAGAUGCAGAGUCUAGUUGCAUCUGGAUGCAGAGACUAGAUGCAGAGUUGACAAGAGCUAACACCAGGUGCGGACCAGGACAGGGGGACCUUAAGCGAUGACACUCUGCCAGAUGUGUCUUGUUUCCUUGACUGUGGGGAGGCCCUUGGUGGUGGGGUGACAGCCCCCCAGUCUGAGGAUUUUCCCUAGAUGCAGCAUCUCAGUGCUAAAAUGGGACAGUCCCAGGCAAACCAGGUCAGUUGGUCACUCUACUCAGUGAGUCCCGUGCUGUGUUCAAAUUUUCCUCUUAACAGAUGUGGAUGGAUUUUGGAAACUUAGAAACCACCAUUUCUCUGUGCCUGGGAGGAGAAUUAAAUCUUCUCACCAGAAUCCUUUUAUGUGUGAGAGAAAUAAAUAUCUAUCCUUUUUAUAUCUCUUUUGUUUCGGAUUCUUUGUCACUAGCAGCCAAACCCAAUUCUUACAUAAACGUGAUACUAAUUAAAUUCAUUUGCAUAAACUCACCAGUUUUAUUCUUAAUUACUGUGAUAUACAAUCAUGAAGUAUGUACCCUAAAAUACCACUGUAAGUUUUAUUUGAUUACAGCAUUAAACUUAAUUUACAGAAA
rnacentral:lncRNA from 1 species